rnacentral:tRNA from 1 species
GGAGGGGUGGCAGAGCGGUCGAAUGCGGCGGUCUUGAAAACCGCUGAAGCUGCAAGGCUUCCGUGGGUUCGAAUCCCACCCCCUCCG